rnacentral:lncRNA from 1 species
AUGUUGCUCAGUUCUAGGGAUGAAAAAAGCUGUCAAACACCUUGUUUAUUUUUAGAGCUCUGUGGGCUGGCUUUCCAGAUCAACAGAUCAAUCGAAGAGCUGGACAAAAUGAUCACGGGUAGGCUCCAGACAGCCCGGGACUGCAGCACGAUGGAGUUCACCUCUUCUGGCAAACUGGGUGUGGGUUUAGUGGUUAGAACAACUUGAAGGUCCCUAAUUUGAAUCCUACCUCCUGCUGUAGUAUCCUUGAUCAUGCUACUUACCUUGAAUUACUCCAGUAAAAAUGACCCAUCUGUAUAAAUGACUAAAUUAUUAUAAGUAACUUACAUUUACAUGACAUACAUUUAUUAGUUUAGCAGAUGCUUUUCUCCAAAGCGAAGUACAUCUCAGAGAAAAUAUAAUUUGUACUUUACAUUAGGAGAAAGAGACACAGUUGCAGACGUGAUUCUUAAGAAAACCUAAUAUGUUACUUUCCACUUGAUGCACCGAUGUUCACCGCUCGAGUAGGUGCAUAAAACUCAGGAUUGACUAACCCUGAUCACCUUCCCAAAUUUUUUUUUUUUAAAGGUACACAAACAUUUACAUACAAUACAGGAGUAGCGGCUGUGUAAAGGCUUAUCUGUGCAUGAUCAUAAAGUGAGGGUGCAUCACCAUUUACAUCAUACUUGAACUUAAGAGAUGAUGGGCGUAGUGAUUCCGGAAAAGGUGUUUUCAGACCCUUCUUGAAUGUAGACAGAGAUUCAGCAGUUCUGAGUGCGAGGGGGAGGUCGUUCCACCACGAUGGAGCCAGAACUGAGAACCUCCGCUCUUUACUUUUCAUGCGCGAGACCACCAAGCAAGUAGACGUAGACGAGCGAAGGGGUCUGGCUGGGGUGUAGCGGUUGAUCAAGUCUUGUGAAUAGCUGGGAGCAGUUCUACUGAUGCAUUUGUAGACAAUAACCAGGGUCUUGAAUUUGAUCAGGGCAGCUAUAGGAAGCCAGUGCAGAGAAAUGAGUAGAGGAGAUAAUGGGAGCGCUUUGGCAAAUCAAACAUGACUCGGGCAGUAGCAUUCUGUAUCAGUUGUAGAGGUUUGAUUGCAGUAGUGACUUAACUCUCAUGACCAUGCCCACACCUCAACCAGCAGCACCUGACUCCGUUUGAAAUACUUGGCUAUAAAAAGCACCACUCAACCAUAUUCCAGUUGUGGAAUCUCUUUGAAAUGACUGGCCCUCCUAUGAUCACCUCUUGUCCAGAGCACCCUAUCUGCUCUCCCCUGUCUACUGCCCUAGUUCCCUCGCCCGUCUCCUGUCCCUUUUCCUGUCUACUACGGCAUCGACCCUCGCGAUGUCCUCAUUAACCACAUCCUCGGAUUCUCCCCACUUACUACAUCUGCGCCUCGGAUUUACCACGACUGUCCCUGACUACAAGUACUACCUUGUCCCAAGAACCAUCACAACAAAUGAUCCCGCGAUUGGAUCCACACCCGGGUUUCCAGUUUGCUUGUAGUGACAUUAAAUUUUUAUGCUGCCUGGAGAAAAAUGUCAGCUAAAUGAAUAACCAAAAUAAAAAGAGCUUUAUUGAUCGCA